ACAUGACUGACCAAAAAUACUGCUGAACCCUACUCUCUGUGCUUUCUCUGUCCAUCCUGUGGGCCACCAAGGCUAUGAAGAAGGAGAUCAGAGCUGGUGAGAGCGAAGGAGGUGAUCUGUCAGAGGCUUCCAGCAAGAUUGUGGGUGACCAGAAUGAAGGUCAUAAAGGAUAAAAUCCUGGAGAUAUCCCGGAGAGUGUGAACUGUUGGAGAACCUGUUGGUCACCUCUCAGCCACUGUGGCGCCCUGGUGGAAUCACACCCAUGGCAAUUCCCAGCUUCAGAGAAGAGAACUAAGGUUGCAUCAUCUUGGAACACAGUUUAAGCCGGUGAGAGACAACCCCUUCUGAGAAGACUGUAGCUACUUCAGGAAACAGCUUGGCUCCUUCCAAGACAGUGUUGGGAUUGCUCAGCAGCUUGGAGAUCUGAUCAUCACCCGUUGUAUUAAAAGUCAGAAUGUGGAAUUGAAAAGGUUGAGAUCUGGGCUCCUGUUGCCUCCUCAGCACUUCAAAGUGGAUUUACAAAGUAACCAUCCCAACCACAAGCACACCACACCAGCCAGGCUUGUGGAAAUAUUGCCGAUCCUCACCUUCCCUCGCUGAACCUGGGCCAUCAUAGAGGCAAGAAUGCAAACUAUUCAGGGCUAAAAGAGGAAAGAGACAGUAUAAUUCUGUGGUUUACUUCCUAUGGUAUGACAUAAGAAGAGCGUUGAGGAGCCUGUUUAUUUGUCUCCAUUCAAGUUCAAUUAAAAACAAACAAGGAAAUAUCCACAAUCCUUUGGGAACGUGAACUGUAAAACCAAAGACUGCUAUCAGUAACUCAAGUGGAUGAAAUCUGUGCUGAACAUCUGUAUACCUAGUUGACCACACAAGUCAGAAGGACACUUCGGUUUUAUCGGAUGGAAGUUCUGGUGAACACGUUUUUUCCGAGACAAGCUUAAUGGCUCUUUCAUGUGGUUUGGUUUUGGUUAGUUUAUUGUGUACUUUUAUGUGUAGUUUGGCUGUUAUUCCUGAAAACAGAUCUGUUUCUUAACAAAAACAAAUGAAUGAC